UCGUGGGCGAAUGCGAAUCUGAAGGAAGGUGUAAGCAAUCUCCGGUCUGACAAAUAGAAAUUCGCAUAGGUAAUACUGUUAAUGAUGAAGAAAAACCAAAGUUAAGGGUAGCAGCUUAUUGCCGGGUUUCAACAGACAGUGAGGAACAGGCGUCUAGC
rfam:Herbinix sp. SD1D isolate SD1D genome assembly, chromosome: I